AGGAUGAACGCUGGCGGCGUGCCUAACACAUGCAAGUCGAACGUCCUGUCUCGCAAGAGGCAGGGAGUGGCGGACGGGUGAGUACCACGUGGGUCAUCUACCGUGAGGUGAGGAAUACCGGCGAGAAAUCGCCGACAAGACCGCAUAGGCUCGAUGCAAGUCGAGCAAAGCUCUUUCGAGAGAGGGAGCGCCACACGAGGAGCCUGCGCCCGAUUAGCUAGCUGGUGGAGUAACGGUUCACCAGGGCGACGAUCGGUAGCUGGUCUGAGAGGACGAUCAGCCACACUGGGAUUGAGAACGGCCCAGACUCCUACGGGGGGCAGCAGUGAGGAAUUUUCGUCAAUGGGGGCAACCCUGAACGAGCAACGCCGCGUGCAGGAAGAAGGUUUCGGAUCGUAAACUGCUUUUCUCGGGGAAGAGAACGGACGGUACCCGAGGAAUCAGCCCCGGCUAACUACGCGCCAGCAGCCGCGGU
rnacentral:rRNA from 1 species